GAUGAACGCUGGCGGCGUGCCUAAUACAUGCAAGUCGAACGAAAAAACGGGAACCUGGGUCCUCUGACGUAAGGGGGAGACGGGUGAGGAACACGUGGAUAACCAACUGGAAUGACUUGCAGAACUUCGGGAAACCGGAGGUAAGACCGAGGAACAUGUUGAGCGGCAUUUUUCAGCAAGGAAACACGGUUUUGCUUUCGCUUUGAGAUGAACCCGCGUCGCAUUAGCUAGUUGGUAAGGUAACGGCUUACCAAGGCAACGAUGCGUAGCUGACCUGAGAGGGUGAUCGGCCACACUGGAACUGAGACACGGUCAAGACUCCUACGGGAGGAAGCAGUAGGGAAUCUUCCGCAAUGGGCGAAAGCCUGACGGAGCAACGCCGCGUGAGUGAAGAAGGUCUCCGGAUCGUAAAACUCUGUUAUUAGGGAAAAACAAAUGUGUAAGUAACUAUGCACGUCUUGACGGUACCUAAUCAGAAAGCCACGGCUAACUCCGUG
rnacentral:rRNA from 1 species